UUUUUCUUGUUUAUCUUUCCAUGUCUUUACAGAAAUGGAAAUAUGCCAUAGACAAUGUAUGAAUACUUUUUCUGUUAAAAAUGCAUUUAUUUACCGACCUUCGAAGGGUCAAAGAUCAGCAGUAUAGAUUUACUUCAUUCUUUAUGAUGGCCACCUAGUAUGACAUUGAAAGGCAGUACUACAAUUUGUCCAAAGGACUGACUGCAAGGAGAAAGAUGCCCUCUGGGCAGAUGGCAGAACACUUGCGCAGAGGGAAAUUCAGAUCGCUGCUUCUCCAACUUUUGACACCCAGCAAAACGUGUUGUAAUACAACAGCUAUGAGACCACAUCCCCAGAAAGAGGGUAGAAGAUGGGACUUCCUAUUUGUGAUCCAGGAAAGAAGCACUUGCUCAUCCCAGUAGAGUCAGCAUCCCUCUGGUGAAAUACCAUCCACACACAAGGUAGAUGUGAGGAUUGUGGUAAAGUGGACCAUAUCUGUUGCAAAACAUAGAUACCCUAAAUCCUCAACAAGAGGUUUUUAAAAAUCUUAAUAGAUGGAAUUGACAAAACAAGCAAACAAAAAUUCCCAACCCUCCGCAUGGCACUGGACACAGAGUUUCACUACUGAGUUCUUUCAAACAUUCAAGGACCAGGUUUUAUCUAUUUAAACUCCUUAAGAGGUUAUUUUACAAAUUAAAACUUCAUAAUUCAUUUUCAAAGCAAAACUGAUAAAAUAUAAGGAGCAUAGUUCAAAUACACUGUGGUAAAAAAUGAAAUAUGAAUAAAUAUAAAAAGUUAAAGGAAAUUUUAACA
rnacentral:lncRNA from 1 species